rnacentral:lncRNA from 1 species
AGGAUGAUUAAAAGAUUGAAAUUCCUAAUAAGGCAGCCUGGGGGAGUGGAUGUGGAUGCUGGGUUUGACAUUGAGCCACUAUAAAUUCUUUGUGUUUGAGGUAUUCUGAUUGUUUAGCAUGUCCAUUUUAUUCUUUGGAUUAUUUAUUGUUCAUACUUAUCUUAGCAACUUAUGGACACUUUCAAAAGUGAGUUUUCUGCUGCACAUAUUUUGUAAAUUUUGAAAAAUUUAACUCAACCCCCCCCCCCCCAAAAAAAAAAAAACAAAGGAAUUAUUGAGAAUUAUCCAAGGAAGCAUGAUUUGGUAUAAUAGUGCGUCAAUAUUUGAACAUACAAUUUAACUUAGGUUGCUACAUUAAACUAAUGGCCUAAACUUUAGCCUAUGCACACAGAUAUAUCUACCAAUUUGUAAGGUAGAUAGUAUCACUCUAAUACUUUUUUUUUUUAAAUCUCUAAAUACCUCACAGCCAUCAUAUUGAGAGAAAUGCUGCAGUUUGAGGAAGCAUGGAGCAGGAAGAAUAUUCUUUUUGACAAAAAAAUCUGUAAACAUUAGAUUCCAAUUUUGAUUAUUUUAUGAAUAAUAAUUUUAAGAUUAAAAAUAUUUUACUAUUUAAUUAUUAUAGAUUGGAUUUAUAUUAAAAUUUAUUAUUUUUUUAAGUUCAAGUCUUCCUAGAACUUUAGCAUUAUUUUUUAUAUAUUUAUUUAUUUUAAAUAAAGGAUCCAUGUAUUGCACAUGCCACAUUGUAAUUAGAAUCGGAGAUAUUAGAACUAAGAUUUUUCGCAUGCCUUUCAUAUUGGAUUGGGGAAGCAUAGUAUGGAGAGUAUUAUUUUUUGACAAAAAAUCUAAAAGCCUCGGAUUCUAAUUUUGAUUAUUUUAAUUAAGAUAGUUUUCAGAUUAAGAUAUUUUAUUAUUUAAUCAUUAUAUAUCAUGUUUGUAUUAGAAAUAUCAUAACUAUUUUAUUACAUUUGUCUAUCAAAAAUUUAAGUCCUACAAGAAAACUUCUCUAACUUUUUUUUUGCAUUAUUAAUAUCCAGAGCAACAAAUUUUGUACUAUUUUCUAUAAGAGUUCGAGUCGAGUGAAUUUGAGGAAUUGCUUCCUUCUUCUCUCUUUAUUCGAAUCAUAGAAUAGCAAUACCACUAAAAUUCUCUUACCAAGAAUUCCAUUCAUGGAAUUGUGCCACCCAUUCUCGAGCUCUCAAUCCCACCACCCAAACAGGGGCUAUAGGGGAAGGAACUGAGAAAUUGGAUUUUAUGGGAUGAGAGUGGUUUAGCUCUGUUGCCAAAUGGAAACUGAAUAAUGCUUAGAACCCUCCUACAAUACAUUGCAUACUUUUGAGAUUUAUGCCCAUCUUUUUUAUUGUUUUUUUUUUUUUUUUUGUCUGAAAGCGGAUGUUUCAUAUAGUGCGUAUACGGAUACACCUAAAAAAGUCAAAAUACAACAAUUCGCAGAGUGCUAGUGGCAGCUCUCCCUCCCCUGACCAAAGAUUGUACCCUGAGUGGUGGGCCGCUAUCCAGUCGGCCGCCCCAUUGGCUUUUCUAAAUACAUGCUUGGCCUGAAAGACCCUCCCAUCUGUCAUCAUCAUCCCUAUGUUACGGAUUAAGGGGUGGUCUGUGCCGUCACCCCUCGACCCCCUCUAAAUCCACCCGAUAACCGUAGCCAUCUUUAUGUAUUCAAUGAUGCAUUUGGAAAGCAUUUCAAAUCUCAAAGGCCACCAUGUAUUAAAUUUUCAGCGAGAAGUCUAUCUUUGGAUCGUUAUCAUUAUCAUCACCUUUAAAUAAGCACCCCUAAACUAGUGGAGAUCAUGCUCAAAUAGGCACGGUUUCUCCGAUGGAUUUUGCUGUCAAUAUGCGAGCAUGGCAAUACGGGAGGCCGGCUUAAGUUGGCAUGAUUAGAACUAGAACACAUGAUUUAUCUCAGUAAGCGACUAAUGAGGUUUUUUUGGUUCAAUAAGAGUGACUAAAGCAUGGUUCCGCAAUGACAGAUCAUAGACAUGAUAUGGGUGUUACUAAUCAUGGUUCGGCACAGUUCGAGUACAGCACCAAAAAUUUCUGCUGUGGUUUAUUCCAACUCCAUAGCGACAUGUUUGGCGUUCAGAAACAAUUUGGAUAUUUCAAAUUGAGAACAAAAAUAUAACUUCAUCAAAAGUUUGAAAAACUCAAAUAAUUAUAUAUAUAAAAAAGAAAAUAAUGGACAUUAGAUUUUUAAAAAAUUGGCAUAUUUACUCAUGAAAAUUAGCAUAAAAAUGAAGAAUAAAUCCAUGUCCACCUCAUGAUUGAAUAGAUCUGAACGGAUUUGUUUAUUGAGAAUAUUUCAAAGAAUCAUUUGGAGAAGGAAAAGCUUGAAAAAAGCUGGGUCUUUUCGGCCACUCAAGAGAAUAUUGCUUCUGUUGUCCAUUCCUAUCCUGAGUUACCCAUAAUUCUCAUGUUACUUGCCACAUGGUUGGCUCAGACAAGAUUUCAUCGCCUACAUAAAGAGUUCUUUGAUAUACUUAGGAACAUAUGUUGCCCCAAAUAAGUAAUAGAGAGAGAAAAAGAGAGAAGCUAAGACAAGGGAGAGGCAUCAAAUCAAUAAUGGUCAGACAACCAUCUGCAAGUUCCUUCUGUAAUAUAGUGGAGAGAUCCACAGAGUUGCAAGGAAAAAGGAAGCAUGGAGAUCCCAAAUUUCAAUGUGCAACAGAAAAUAGUCAACAACAAUAUGAAGCCACUGUUUUGUUUGUUUCUUGAAUUUGUUUUAUUUAGUCUUUUAAUACUGCACCCUCACUGUUAUAUAUACAAGUAACAGAAUUAGAACAAACUCCAAUGGAGGAAAAAAAAAGAAAAAAAAGAGAAGAAAAGUAUAUAAUGCACACAGCUCCAUUGAGUUAACAGCUCCCAAGUGCUUCCAAAAUGCUAAAAAAGGAUUGGCAGAGAUCACUGGAGCUGUUAAAAACUGGGAGGAAAAACACUUCUAGUUAAGUACCUUUUCUUGGAUCAUCAACAUAUCCAUCCACAGGUCGUAUGAGUUAUUAUACCGGGUAAUGUUUAUCUAACACCAGUAAAAAAGGACCCAUAUCAUUCACCUUUAUUUUUUUCUGGUUUCACUAAUUUCUUCUCGCAAAGACAACCUUUGGGCUUGCCUGAAGCUGAAGAAGGCAAUCAUGCACUGUGGGCUUGGAGUUGUUCUCAAAAUCAGGCUUAAGUCUCAUCUGCAAUGUAAACAUUUAUUUAUGUUUGAUGAGUUUAACAAAUACAGUACAACUUUGCCAAAGUUGAAUAUGAUAUUGUAAUUCAUUACAAGGUAUGAUUUUAGCCGAUGGAAAGAACUAGUUGAAUGUAAAAAGAAAUUAUUCGUGAAUCACCUCUUGAUCUCAAGUCCCCUUUUUUUACAGCUAAAGGUACUCAGCAACAUGUCAUGCGCUAAUUAACUUAAAGAGGAGUAUUUUCAAUCAGGUAAACAACAAAAGCCAAUUAUGCCUCAUGCUCUUUUAAGCAUCGAUUUCAUGCCACAUGCAUAAAUAAUCAAACAUGUUAUGCAUUUCUACAUAUAAACACACCAAAAUGACGAAAAAACGCUAGUUGCAGCAUGCAAUUAUCAAAAGAAAGAAAAGAAAGAUUACUAACACAUGGUAUAUAUGAAACAUAGUUUGUUUUUGAUUUUGAACUGAUAACAUUACAAAUCUGUACCGAUUUCGGUCACAAUACAUGCAGUGCUUGUUGCUGCAAAAAAAGAAUUAAAAAAUGCAUUGAUGUAUGUAAUCCAUUCUUUGUUAUUAAAAUCUGAGAUGUCCCUCCAAAAAUUAAUCUAAAAUCACAAGCAAAGUUUCAAAUAUCGUGCAAUUUGGUCACGUACUGCUUGCUGGCAGGUACAGAGUGUUAGGUGAGGACCCAAUGACGACUUAGUUUUUCACUCUCGAACUCAAGUCGAAUAAAUCUAGACAUAUGUCGGACGACGGGGUUUGACGAGUUAUCCAUGACCUCCGGUCUGUAGGAAUCCAUGAUAGAAAUACUGUAUCAUACGAUAACUGCACCUACAGGUUCAUCAUUCUACUCUGCUGGGUAGCCACUACAUACUGCUAGGUGUCACUGGUGGAUGGUGAGACUCACAGGGACCAUUCUGAUGGUCGAUGAUCCCUGGUGAAAUCACAAAGGGGAUAAAGAUGAGCUCCUAUUUUGAAUUCACAAAGGGAUAAAGAUGAGCUCCUAAAAUUUAGGAGCUCAUCUCUAUCCCCACACCAUAAAAGAGGGGUUCAAAGGGGCUACGAAUUUUUCAUGGUUUUUCCUUGGGAUUUUUGGCAGCAAGGAACCUCCUUCCAUCCCUCCUUUCAGCCACAAGAAAGCAAGAAAAAAAGGCUUGUGGCGUGGCCCUUCUUCCUUCCAUUCUUUGGUUCCAACGCGAAGGGAAAAAUGAAAGACUGCGGGUUUUACAUUCUUCUUCCUACAUCCCUCCUUCUUCCUCCUCUCAAGGUAAUCAAAAGUUGAUUCAAAGGAGAGGAUAUCAGCCAUCAAAAGCUAUCUCUGCAAGGGAGCUAGCACCCCGGGAAGAUCCAAAAGCUUCAAUUGGUGCUAUACCUCGUGUGGAUACCUGUAGAGGCCGGAUGCGUGUGCGGCUUCCAUCGAACCUUCAACAAAUCCACGUAAAUCAGAUUUGCAGAGACCAUCUACCCGCACAAGAUGAAGAUCUGAUCUUCUUAAUGAUUUUAAAAUGGUUUAUAAGAAUUUAAUCCUAAUCUAUCUACAAACGACGGUUUUAAAAUACGUUCAUGCGAUGAACGGGAUCGCACAUGCCCUUCCGCUGCACAUCUAAAAAUUUUUGAAAUUUUUCUGCGGCAUGCAUCAGAUCCUAACAGUGGUAUCAGAGCCAGGUUAUGUAGAUUAAGAUUGGAAUUAAAUUUUUAAAGGCAUUUUAAAUCUAAAAUUUAAAGAAUUAUGCUUGCUGAAAUUUUCUGCAUACAGAAUUUUCAGCUUGCUGAUUUUUCUGCAUGCUAAUUUUUGAAUGCUUAGAUUAAUGAUUCUAAUGCUUUGGUAAUGUGAUUACAAAUAUUUAGAAUCAUAUCUUGCAUAAUCAGCAAGUCAUAAGAUGAAAUAAUCAGUUAAAUUACAGAUCUGAAAAUAAUAUUUAUGCAUGAGAUGCGUAUGGUGAUGAUCAUGGAUGGACCCUUUUGAAUGUGCUGAAAUAUUCUGCGAUAUUCUGUGAUGCUAUGUGAUGGCAUGUAAUUUUAAUUUUCAGAUGCCUGCGUGCAUCUUAAAUUCAUGUAUUAAAGACCUGCGUGUCUCAUGAAAAAGGGUUGUAAUUUAUUCUUUUAUUUUAUUUAAUUUUUAAAGCAAUCUGGGAUGUAAUCUGUGAUGUGUGUUGCACGUCGAUGGUUGAUCGAUAUGUACAUUAACAAGCUUAACAUGCACGGAUCGAAAUCAAGGGUUGAUUGAAGAUGGAUCAAGGAGUUGAUCACAAUUGGACCUAGGGAUCAAGAUCAAGUCAAAAGUUGAAGAUGAUCAAACCAAUUGACGUGCAUGUGAUUGUAAAAUGACCCCAUCCUGGAUCCAUGAUCAUCACCAUUUAAAUUUAUUUGUUGAUAAAUGCCUGGAUGUUUAAUGCUUAUGUCUAUACGGGUAGAUAUAUAUUUGCAUGAGAUGUGAAUAGUCGAUCGAGAGAGACCUAAAUACAAACCUUCUCAAUCAGUCAAGAGUGAACCAACAUGAGCUAGUCAUAUUAGAUUAAUUGAUCUAAUUGGUGUCUAGGCAGCUUAAAAGGUGGUUACUUAAUUAGGACCUUACUCUUCGAGUAAGGGGAACCUCCCACCUGCUUACCUGGCCAAUUGUUCCAUGCGAAACCAAUCACCGGCUAGUACAACCUCCGAUACCAAUUCGGAGAACCUUAAUUCUUGGAUAUUGCUAAAAGAAUGAUCUAUAUGUGUCCGUUUUUAAAAUUUAAAUAUGUUUUUUUUGAAUCCAUACUAACUAAAUAGUUAAUAGCACCAAGCUCCAUAAAAUAUGCAUAGAAGAGUAUAUUAGAACAAUAGUAAUUAUGCCAUCUUUAAGUGAAGCAUUAAAGUCGAUUUUAGAAGAAUUUGACAAACAUAACACAGAUCACCAACCUCAUAGUUUUGAAGUAAAUAUGCAAGCAAUGCUGAUAUUCCAUGAAUUGCAAACUUUUGUCCAAUGCAUGCUCGUGCACCAGCCCCAAAAGGAAGAAAUGCUGCACUUUUAUUUGGUUCACUUAUAAAUGGGCACUCUUCAUGCUUCUCAUGUUCCUCAAAUGUGCCUGCAAUUUCAUUUUGAGACAGAUAUUGAAAACAUUAACAAAUAAGUAUCUCAAAGAAAUGCUUUAAAGGAAUGAAAAAUGGAAUAAAUUCCAUUUCCUUUGAAGGGAGAUUGAAGUAUUGGGAGCGAACAUGCAUAAAUUAUAAAAUUGAAGGAGCCAAAAUGCAUGAUAAUGGAGGAGUUCUAUUAAACCUUUGUAAAUAAAUCAAAGCUAUAUCAUCUAAUAUUGCUUUGAUAUACCAGGAAUUAGGAAGCAUCUUACUCAGUAAAACUAUCAGAAAUAAAGCACAAUCCUUCAAACUAUUGGUAAAAGAAAUCAACCCCAUUAUGCCCAAAAGUAAUGCUCAAUCCUUAUUUGAUUUAAACAACUAAUACAGGUGACUGGCAUUGGUUGUUCUCGUCAGGUGCAACAAUUAUUGUAGCAUCAGACAAAUUGGCAAUAGCCUUUUUGUUCAUAGAAAUUCUUAAUAAGAUAAUUCUCAAAUGGUGAAAAAUCUCAGAAGACAAUGAUACAAAAAUGCAACCAACUAAAAGCCACAGAAAUAUUAUACUACCAAGAAGAGCAAAAUAUUGAUGUGUAGAAAAAGGAGAGAGAAAUGAACAUAGCUUUUGACACAAGAAUAAGAUCGUCUUAAACAACAAUAAGCAGCCUCCCACAAGAUUUUAGAAUUUUGGUUCAAGUCUUGGUUUUGAUAAGAGGACUAAAGUAUUGGCUGAAACAUGCUUCGACUGGGAUAGAUCUCAAACUGAUCAAAAAAUUCAGUUUCGGCCACCGGUUUCAACAGUUUCAGAUGAAACCAACUGAAGCUGCCGUUCUUUUACCCCAUUUGUUAACAAGUAUAUGUAUUUAUGUUUAAUAUGUGUUCGAUAUUAUUAAAUCACACGUUCAUCUGAGUCUCUAAUGAUCUUAUCUAUAUAACUUUUGUCUAAGUUAUUAUACUGGAAAGUCAAUGUAUUAAAAAGUGGAUAGAAAGCACAUAACAGCCAGGGGGGCUCCUAGCCAAUAGCGAAUAGCAAGUGCUAUGUACCCAAAGCAGGCUGUUGAAGUAUAUAUAUAUUUUCUUACUAAAUAUCAAAGAUAUCAACUCUACAUCAACUUCAUGUAAAAAAUGAAGAAAAUAAAGAAAAAUUUAAAACAACAUCCACGUAUCAUCGUAAUAUCAUAUCAACAUUUAUAAUUUUGUAUAAUGUAAAGGUACACGAUCUAAUGAGCAAUAUCAUCAUCCACCAAACAUAAUUACAUCACUCAAUAAAGAUGUCUACAAUAUGAUAACAUCAACCAUAGAAGAAAGAUGUCCACAAUCAUACAAAUAAUCCACUUCUCCUUAUCCUCUCUCUCUCUCNNNNNNNNNNNNNNNNNNNNCUCUCUCUCUCUCUCUCUCUCUCUCUCUCUCUCUCUCUCUCUCUCUCCCCCCAUGCUCCAAUUGAACAUGGGUAUGAAAUAACUAAACCAGCCCAUGUUUUAAUCAUCCUAUUGGACUAGCUGAUUGUUGGACCGCUUCAAUUGGAAAGUGGUCCAGUCUGCUAUAAAAUAAAUCACCCACUUCAAACACAGCAUCAUGGCUGCUACAGUGGGUUUCCCACUUCAUACUUGUGCCAUAUGGCACCACCAUGAUAUUUAGCAUAGCCUUCUUCGGCUGAAAGCGCUAUAGCCGCUGUAGCAGCCUAUUUUUAAAACAAUGUGGUCAAUCUGCAAACUUGAUAUAUCUUUACUAAUCAGGCAAGAUAGUUCGUCUUCUUAUUUUUCUUACUUAAAUGAGUUUCUUCCUCCUUUGCUAAAUAAAGUGAAAUAUUAAGAUGAAAUAAUGAAAUAAAAUGGGUUUUUUAUUUGGAUUGGUCCUUUUCUUUUCUUUGUCCAAAUGAAAUAGAGUAAAAUAUACUUAAAUGGGUUUCUUCUUGAUUAGAUGAAUUAAUAAAAUGCAACAAUGUUAAAUAUGCUUAGAUGUUUUUUUCCUCUGAUGAUUUAUAAAAAUGAAAUAGAAUGAAAUAUGCUUAGAGGAAAAGUUUAGUUAAAUUUUUAUGGAAAAUUAUAAAAAACAAAGAAAAGUAUAGAGAAAUUAUAAAAAUUAGAGAAUUGUAAGAAGCAGAGUCGCCGAGUUGGGAAACAAGUGUGAGAGAUCAUAUGAGAAACAAAAGUUGGUGAUUGAUAAGAAAUUAUACAAUUGGGAAAAUUGGUGGCAUCUAUAUAUGAUAAUUAAAAUUAUUCACAUAUUUAGCAUAGGAAAUAAAAAAGAUAUCUUACAAAGAUUAAAAAAAAUAAAAUCUCUACUCGUCGCCUAUGUUCUUUAAAAAGAAAAGAAAUAGGUAGCGAAGAUGAAUCUUUUUCUUCUAUUCUAAUGGGGCCUAGCUUCUAACUUUUUUUAGACAUGGGGUCCAUGUUGUGGUUUAAGGUAUAUUAGUAAUCAUUUUGAACUAAAACAAUUUUAGAUUGACAAAAUUUCUAAUUAAAGGACACUUAGAGCAAAAGUCUAUAUGGAAAGAUCACUCAUGCAAAGAAAAUCUAAAUCGAGGUUUUUUUUUAACUUCCUGUAGGUGGUGGGACUGAUGUGGUCGAGGCAUGUGGGGAAAGAGGACAAAGAGAGUGUGUAUUGGUUAUUUUCAGAAUGCAAAUUCAGCAUUUCUCAAAAUGCGCUUUGCACUCAUUUCUCAGGUUUUUUUUUUUUUUUUGUGGUACUAUAUAUUGAACGUGAGUACACCCAGCCAGAUCACUAGAAAGUAACAAAGACAAAGGAGGAGGAGCAUCUGAAUCAGACGUCCAUGGUAAGAAUAUUACAGAAAAAAAAGUCUAAACAUUUAAAGAAUUAAGCUUUGAUACAGUUUAAUUUCAAUCUGAGAUUACCCAAAAUACAUAUUAUAAUCCUAAAUAACUCAUAACACAAUAAAACGAUGUGAAUUAGCUUGUCUUUAUUUUUUCUCAACUUUUCUUGUUUGGAUCUUUUUAAACUUUUUUUACCAUAAGUCUAGAACUCAAGGUAAAAGUAUCAAAAUUGAAAUUACAAUGGUCAAGAAAAAUAGAGUUUUAUAAGAGAUGUGUAGAUCAUAUGUUAAUGAAUUUAGGGCUGAUUGAGUGACUGGCAGGGGUCGGUAGUCGACUUGUAAAAGUAUUUCAGGUUGCCUAUAUGAAUCUAUGCAGAAAUUCAGUGUGUACCACUAGAAAAAAGACAUAUAUGAGACUAAGUGCAAGUCAUCGAUACACAGAAAAGCACAGCAUAUGGAUAAGUUUAAGAAAAUAACAUAGAAACAAAAAUAGUAUGAAGCAAAAUAAAACAGGUAAAAUGAAAGAGGUUGGCGGAAAGAAAAACUAAAGAGACAGAAAGAAAAACUAGGAGGAAGUAAGAGAUGCAAAUCAGACAUCAAAUCCUUGAUGCCUUUCACAAGAACAGAGAGAAAGAAAACAGUUUAUCAUGCUUCUUGGAGUCUAGCAGAGGACCACAUAUGGCCUUCUCAGGUAAAUAAUAUCUAGAUUUUCCAGACCUCUAUAACGCAAAACUCAGUUUCUCACAGAUUCCUCUACAGAAGACACCUAAUCUACACAAAAUUAAAUCCUAAUGACUUCAGAAAUUUUCGAAUGUUAUAUAUAUAUAUAUAAUCUGAAAAUUACAAUAAACCUAAACUGCACCCAAUAGGCUACCAUUAAAUAAUAAGGUACCAUCAGAUGUAUGUACGCAGUAGUGGUGACACUAGCAGCAUCAAAACCCUAUUCUGCUUUCACCUUACUAGAUGAGUGGAAGUCAUGUUCCAAUAGAAUGAUCUUCCAGUCUAACCACUCAAAGUUGCUUACAUAAAGGGUUGGGGACCAAGUCUGUAUUUUAUUUUUGUAAUUAAACUUUUCCAAGCACCAAGAAAGAACACCAACAAGAUAGCCAUCCUUCAUGCUGCCAACCAUGAAAUUCUCUCAUUCACCAUUGACACCAAUGAGGGAUUUCAGCAAUGCAUGCUAUUUAUAUAUGAAAAAUAUUCUCUACAAAGAUAUCUUGCAUUAUCACAGCAUUGGACAUGGUUAAAGAUUUCUCUAAUUCUUUAACACAAGGUGAAUGCUAGGCAAGGGCACUGUAUUAAGUUCCUUCUUUAGUUAAUACAUACAUGGAAACACUCAAUGAAUUUUAACUUGCAAAUCAUAAUCCCUCUUACAUAUAUGAGAGUGAAACAAGGAGUCUAAUAAGUUCCCCUACUAAUCAAAGAUUUAAAUUCUUACGAAGUAAGUUGUAAUUCAUAAAACUUCAAAGAUGAUACUAAAAAUUUCAAGAAAUCAUUAAAUUCAUCUUUUGAUUAAGAAUUGUCAUUUUAAAUUGGAGUUCAGUAUUUUUCAUACUAAAGGCAUCUCCAUUCUGUGCAAUUUUCAAAUAAGUUGAAGGUGCAUUCCUCUAUAUUUUGGCAGAUACAACAUCAUCCCAAUAAUGAAUUUACUGACAAACAAAUUACCAUGGUAUGGAUAAAUUAAACACUUUUUUAUUAUAUAGAUACUUCGUUCAUGAAUCAUUGAAACUAUAGGUUCCCAUACUUAAUUCAAUUAUUAGUUUGUCAGCCAAUUGGGUAAGCUAUGUUUAGUUUUUAGUAGCAGGAAACUUAUACUUGAUGAAAAAGUAAUGAAACUGCAUAGAUAAUGGGAGUCAAUUUGACCGUAGAGAAUGCCUAGAUUGAUGUACUUCUACUCAUAGUAUAUCUCCUUUUCCCUCAUUUUAAAUGCAUAGAUUUAAUGUAUUUAAUGCCUAGAUAAGCGAGUCAAAAAAGUUCAUUCACAUAUCUCUUGAUGGUGCAUACCUUUAACAAAUCUGUGAUUGUAAGUGUUAAAACAUUAAGAUCAUUGCUCAUACCUCACACUUAAAAGUAAUCAAUGUCCUGUCUAUGCAUGUGGCUAAAAUAACUUGAUUUUGAGAAGAUCUAUGAUGAAAUCAAGGGCCUCAAUCAUUCAACCCAAUUUACAUCAUGAUGAUUUAAGGCCCCAUUCUACUGCUAGGAGAGUCAAUGGCAUGUAUUAGAAUGUUAAACUAUCAAACAACUCAGAUUUACUCAUUUAUUGAGUUUGUAUCUGUAUUUUUUUAGCCAUGGUCAUAAUCUUAGUCAUUCGGUUAUUUGGCCUUAACUUGGACUGGAGUCACUUGACCGCUGAGCAUUUAACUCAUUUGUCUGUCUAAUAUUCUUGAUCUCUUGGUUAUUUGGUACCCGAGUUAUUUUUUUUUCUACUUUAUUUGGUUACUUCAUUUAUAAAAUAGGUUAGGCUAUAUAUAUAGCUAUAGCAAAGCUAAAGGAGUAGUACUAAGUUAUAUGUGACUUUUGGCGGAGAAAGAAGUCUCUUCUCACAUGAGACUUGGAAUUCUACUCUUCACUCAUCUCCUCUCUCUUCUCUCAGCUUCGUUUCUUUCCUCUCUCUUCUUUCCAUGUGAAAUAUUCUCCUUAACCUGCACAAAUCUAAUUUAUUUUUCUGAGAUUUGAUUUGGGAUCUAAAUUCUCUUUAACCUAAAGAGAAAUAUGUUUUCCCUGAAAUUUGAUUUUGGGUCACAAUUGAACCUUCCACUUAAUAAUAAAAUCAUAAUAAUCCUUUUCCCAAUACUAAACCCUAUUCUCUGAACCCCAGGGUGGAGCAGAAAACCUAAAUAUACCCUUUAAUCCACCAAAUAGCUCACUUCAGUCUUGUUUUCUGAGAUUGGACAGGAAGUUCUUAAAAUGAGCAACACCCCUAAAUAUUCUAGCCUGAUGAACGCAUAAGCAAGCCAUUCCUGAGCAAUCCUGCAUGGAAAAUUUAGAAAGAGCCAACAAGUUCUAAGAUCUAGGCCAAUAUAUAUCAAGAUAUCAAAAUAUCAGAUGAAGAAUUAAAAAAAAAUUGAGAUUCAUUGAUGUUUCAAGGCACUGCUUUUAAUGUAUUGGCCAAUCUCUAGGGAUAUACAGAUUUUUAUUGACCGAGUUUAUAGGGCCAAGAUUUUAUUUAUCAAAUUAUUAGUGUCCCAUACCAAAAAAACUGGCAUCCUUAAACUUAAGAAAAAAAGAAAAACAAUGAACGCUCAUGCACACAGAUAUGUUUAUGUGCAUGUGUAUGUUUACAUUGUGUAAGUAAGUAUCAAAAUAUUUUCGAUUUCACUGAUAUAUGCACACAGAUAUCAAAAUAUUUUCGAUUUCACUGAUAUAUGUAUCUAUGUAUGUAUGUGUAGUACAUAUAUAUCUGCAAGUGCAAUCAAAGGGUCUGAGAAGGUGAGUCAAUAGCAAUCAAAGUUUCUAAGAUAAUGAGUUGCCGAUUUGAUGGUAAAGCUUCACAAAGAGUGGAACAGCAAGUCCAGAUAGGCUUAGUAGCAAAACUAGCAUGCAAUUUCAGCGCAAACUUUUCCUUACAAUUUAGGAAGAGAAAAGUCAGCAGUUAAAUUAGAAAAGAAAUUUGCUUUAAUGAAAAAAAAAAAAACUACUUCCUUUAGGACCAAAAAUUAGUUAUACUUUUUACCUUGGAGUAUAUUGAUAGAAGGACAACAUCAGAAACAAUAGUACUGGCAAGAACUACCUUUUGAAUCUGUUGCCUUAGUACUAUGAAGACUAAUAUAUCAAUAGAAGGGCAAAGUUAGAAAUAACACAUUGGAGUAAUAACUAGCAAGAACUGCCUUCUAUAUGUACUGUCAUCAUACUAUGAAGACACCCAUUUUGUUCAUAUAGAGAUGCUCGAAAUAGAGAAUCAGAAGUAAUUCUGGUAGCUGCAGUUAAAUGAGCUCCAUAGUAUCAAAGAAAAGACCAGAACUCAAGCUUUAAGGAACUUUAAAAGAUAACUCACUUGAUAUGUUCACAUCAGAAGUACAAAAUUCCCUUAGGGAAUCAAGAACAAUCUUCAGGAUACAAGAAGCAAACACCAGUUUAGAUGCAUUUAUAGUUUCCAUACCGCUUCCCUCGAUAAAAAUUACAUUUAUUUUAAGGAACGAUCUUAGCAAAUAAGCUAAUAAAAGCUAAUGUGAUAUCAGUACAUUAAAUUCAUGUUAACAUAUAUGCCUAUGGCAUGAAAGACUACAUAAUAACAACCACCAUGAGAAAGAUUAUAUUAUUGCAAAUGUUAAAGGGCAAAGAAAAAUGAAUCACAAAAAGAUACAAUGCAAGCACAACUAGGGAGGAAAGAGGAGCGAGGGGGUGGGAGGGGGGGAGGAAGAGGGCUACCUCCAUGGUCAAUAGCCUUCGACAAGAAACGAUGUGGAUUAAAGUGGCUGGCAUCCUUACCCCAUAUAGAGUCAUCCAUCUGCAGCAGCUGUAAAGGAACAACGAGCAUUGCUCCCGCCGGUAAAGUUAUACUAGAAUUAAGAAUCAAGUCUGUAAACAAGGAGGACAAAAUUACACACAUGACAGGGUCACCAUACAAGGGGCAAGUAAUAAUAGCAUUAAACUCAUGCAGCACUCUUUCUGCUAGUGUCAGUCAGAUAUAAACUAUUAAAGAACUUAAAGCAGCAAAAUAUUGAUGAAAAAGAAUAAAACCACAGAGAAAAGUUAACAACCAAGAAGCAAAUAUUCAAAUGCAGAACUUAGCACCUGGUCCUUUGUUUGACUGCCAUUUUAUGUUUAGUCCUGAUACAAUUAGCAUUUUCCAUUUAGUCCCUUGAAUAUAGUUAGACGUCUUUCCACACAGUUAUGCCUGUGUUUGUAUAUAACUGCUGUGUACACACUUAUGCAGGGACCAGGGAUUAACCACAAAAUGGCCAUCUAAAUAGAGACCAGGAAUUAAAACUUCCAUCAAGGAGGCCUAAAUAUAAAAUGGCAGUCAAUCUAGGAAGUGGGCCUCAAUUUCCCCGAUCCAAAUACACACAUUUUAAUUUGUGGUUAGAAGAUUAAAGCUUCCCGAGGCCUUUUGGCUGUACUUAACAUUUGCAUGCCAUGAUCAUAAAGCUGCACAGCAUAUUUGUAAAACAAUCCAGCAUGAUGAAAUCAGACAACAUUAUUGCACUAAACUUUGAUUCAACCUCCAGAUGUCUUGGACUCAGCACAUAUGUGUGCACUGCAUAACUCCGGAUAGAAAAUCAGAAGCCAAAUCCCAUAAAAUUAAAAUUCUGGUAAGACUACAAAUUUAGUUACAGGGAGCAUAUAACUACUCCAGCUUUCCAUGAGGAUUAACUGUCAUUACCAUUUAAAAUAGAAAUCUGAUUAUUGAAAGACCAUGACAAAGGCACCAAUUUAUAGUAAUGAAUUUUGAGAAUACUAAAAACAGAUUAAACAAGCAUUUAAAACUCACAUAAGAAAUCUUACUCUAAGUGAAGGUACAUUUUGAUAACAGACUGUAUCCUCAUGAAGGAAAUAAAAUCUUUUCAGGAUGUGAGCUCUUCGACUUAUAAAUAUGAAUGUCUACUGGUCUUAUGAAUUAAAAAACAUAAAAAAAGAUGUGCAAUCAUGCAUUGUAUAUUAUUCAGGAUGAGUCUCUCUCUGAAGUUGAAGUUGAGGAUAGCUAUGUCUCCCAAAUUGCUUCUUGGGCAGCUAGGCUGCCCUCGGACACACUUGAGAACCCAUUCUCGUAUAGGCAGGCUAGACCCGCCAAGGCAAACUUUGUGUCAAGUGAUUAUAUUUUUAGGCAGAAUGUCACAUCACCACCUAUAGAUAUUAUUAUAUCUAAAAUUACUCUAAAGGAUACUAAUGUAUGCAAUGAUUUAAACAUAUUAUAAAUAUGAGAUUACAAGCUCAAGUUAUAGUUAUAGAAGAUUAAUUAAGAUUAAUGUGUUAUCGCUGAUGAAAGUUGUAGCUCAUACUUUUUUUAUGAAAGAAAAUUACAACUCAUGUUGUAAAUAAUAUCCUGCAUAACUCGGUAAAUGACAAUAGCUUUCUCACUGCCAUCCAAAAGAAAAGUUAAAGCUCAUAAUAGUUUUUUUUUUUUUUUUAACUGCUAGGCAAAGAGGACAAGAAGAGAAAAAUGGUAAGACAACAAAAAAUUAGUUAAUGACAAGAAGAAAGAUCAUGGAAGGCACUCUCAAAUAAAAAGUGCACAUCCCCCAGGAUGGAUAAGAGCAAAAGUGCAAAAUAAACUUCAUGGAUAUCUAUGUUCCAUGAACUACAGGGACAGACCGAUGCUGAAAAGGCUGAAGAUGGCAGAAAGUGCCAUUCAACCAAGAGUCAAUCUAUAAUAGUUGUUAGCUAUUGAAGUUGUUGGCCAUUUUAUGAAGAAUAGAAAAAUAAUAGUGCCAAAAUAUUAUGUGAAGUGGCUGGUGCAUGUUUUUUCUUUCUUCUUUUUGGUUGGCUAUCUGCUUUUUUUGAAUUUACUACUUUUGAGCAUGUUAGAAGAUUUAUUUCCAUCAUUAUAAACAUAUAAUAGGAAUUAUUAUAAAAGCUCAUUUAAGUUAUGUAAGUAAAGAUUCAUAACAUGAUCGGCGAAACCGUUCCGAACUAUCCGGUCGGAGCAUACCGAGCCGUACCGGCGGCAGACCAGAACGGUUUCGGUAAACAAAACGAGAAACCGACGACGGAGGGGGAGAAGGAUAAGGAAAGAGAGAAAAAGAG